rnacentral:rRNA from 1 species
CGAAUGCUGACAUAAGUAACGAUAAAGCGGGUGAAAAGCCCGCUCGCCGGAAGACCAAGGGUUCCUGUCCAACGUUAAUCGGGGCAGGGUGAGUCGACCCCUAAGGCGAGGCCGAAAGGCGUAGUCGAUGGGAAACAGGUUAAUAUUCCUGUACUUGGUGUUACUGCGAAGGGGGGACGGAGAAGGCUAUGUUGGCCGGGCGACGGUUGUCCCGGUUUAAGCGUGUAGGCUGGUUUUCCAGGCAAAUCCGGAAAAUCAAGGCUGAGGCGUGAUGACGAGGCACUACGGUGCUGAAGCAACAAAUGCCCUGCUUCCAGGAAAAGCCUCUAAGCAUCAGGUAACAUCAAAUCGUACCCCAAACCGACACAGGUGGUCAGGUAGAGAAUACCAAGGCGCUUGAGAGAACUCGGGUGAAGGAACUAGGCAAAAUGGUGCCGUAACUUCGGGAGAAGGCACGCUGAUAUGUAGGUGAAGCGACUUGCUCGUGGAGCUGAAAUCAGUCGAAGAUACCAGCUGGCUGCAACUGUUUAUUAAAAACACAGCACUGUGCAAACACGAAAGUGGACGUAUACGGUGUGACGCCUGCCCGGUGCCGGAAGGUUAAUUGAUGGGGUCAGCGCAAGCGAAGCUCUUGAUCGAAGCCCCGGUAAACGGCGGCCGUAACUAUAACGGUCCUAAGGUAGCGAAAUUCCUUGUCGGGUAAGUUCCGACCUGCACGAAUGGCGUAAUGAUGGCCAGGCUGUCUCCACCCGAGACUCAGUGAAAUUGAACUCGCUGUGAAGAUGCAGUGUACCCGCGGCAAGACGGAAAGACCCCGUGAACCUUUACUAUAGCUUGACACUGAACAUUGAGCCUUGAUGUGUAGGAUAGGUGGGAGGCUUUGAAGUGUGGACGCCAGUCUGCAUGGAGCCGACCUUGAAAUACCACCCUUUAAUGUUUGAUGUUCUAACGUUGACCCGUAAUCCGGGUUGCGGACAGUGUCUGGUGGGUAGUUUGACUGGGGCGGUCUCCUCCUAAAGAGUAACGGAGGAGCACGAAGGUUGGCUAAUCCUGGUCGGACAUCAGGAGGUUAGUGCAAUGGCAUAAGCCAGCUUGACUGCGAGCGUGACGGCGCGAGCAGGUGCGAAAGCAGGUCAUAGUGAUCCGGUGGUUCUGAAUGGAAGGGCCAUCGCUCAACGGAUAAAAGGUACUCCGGGGAUAACAGGCUGAUACCGCCCAAGAGUUCAUAUCGACGGCGGUGUUUGGCACCUCGAUGUCGGCUCAUCACAUCCUGGGGCUGAAGUAGGUCCCAAGGGUAUGGCUGUUCGCCAUUUAAAGUGGUACGCGAGCUGGGUUUAGAACGUCGUGAGACAGUUCGGUCCCUAUCUGCCGUGGGCGCUGGAGAACUGAGGGGGGCUGCUCCUAGUACGAGAGGACCGGAGUGGACGCAUCACUGGUGUUCGGGUUGUCAUGCCAAUGGCACUGCCCGGUAGCUAAAUGCGGAAGAGAUAAGUGCUGAAAGCAUCUAAGCACGAAACUUGCCCCGAGAUGAGUUCUCCCUGACUCCUUGAGAGUCCUGAAGGAACGUUGAAGACGACGACGUUGAUAGGCCGGGUGUGUAAGCGCAGCGAUGCGUUGAGCUAACCGGUACUAAUGAACCGUGAGG